GAUGAACGCUGGCGGCGUGCCUAAUACAUGCAAGUCGAGCGAACAGACGAGGAGCUUGCUCCUCUGACGUUAGCGGCGGACGGGUGAGUAACACGUGGAUAACCUACCUAUAAGACUGGGAUAACUUCGGGAAACCGGAGCUAAUACCGGAUAAUAUAUUGAACCGCAUGGUUCAAUAGUGAAAGACGGUUUUGCUGUCACUUAUAGAUGGAUCCGCGCCGCAUUAGCUAGUUGGUAAGGUAACGGCUUACCAAGGCAACGAUGCGUAGCCGACCUGAGAGUGUGAUCGGUCACACUGGAACUGAGACACGGUCCAGACUCCUACGGGAGGCAGCAGUAGGGAAUCUUCCGCAAUGGGCGAAAGCCUGACGGAGCAACGCCGCGUGAGUGAUGAAGGUCUUCGGAUCGUAAAACUCUGUUAUUAGGGAAGAACAAAUGUGUAAGUAACUAUGCACGUCUUGACGGUACCUAAUCAGAAAGCCACGGCUAACUACGUG
rnacentral:rRNA from 1 species